UGUUAAGGUCCCUUUAUUUCUAUCCCAGGGGAUGAAUAAAAGGAGGCAGAACCCUUGUGCUGUUGUGUCCACAAAACUUGGGUGUUUAACUCUCAGGACCAGUUGCCUGGAGCUGGGGAAGGAGUGACACAAGCACACCUGUGGCCACCACCAGUGAGACAGUACUGGAUCAGACCCGAAACCAGCACAGCACUGGGUCUCACCCAAGGCCUGCAUUGACCACUGCCUGGCUACUGCCUAUGUUCAUUCAAGGCUCAAGAGCUUCUACAGUCAGCAGGCCUUCCCAUUUACUCACCACUCACUGACUCAGUCAGAGCAACUUCCAGCCCUGCAAGCUCCAUUU